AGUUGUUUAUAUGUUUGACUUGUUAUAUGUAUGACUUUUACUGUAACAGUAUGUAAACAUUUAGUUUAUUUCUGUUUUAUUGUUUAUUUCAGAAACUACCUCCAGUGCAUAAUCAGUAUGUGUGUAUAUGCUGAAGAAAAAUGACUCCUACUCGCUGACCAGAUUAGUGCUGCUGACGUGGUUAACACCAUUAACACCAAAAGGUGUUAACAGAACUGGAAUUUAGUGGGGCAGUUCCCAGCAGUAGAAGAUGAGAUAUGGGAGUUUUACCUGCAAACCCAUGUGAGAUUGCUGUAUGAUCCAUCUGCUCCAUGAAAAUGACCACCUCUGCAGAUUAUUUAUUUAGUUCCCAGAUAUGUGUAUAUUCUAUAGUCUAUCAAAAUUGCUUCCUCUCCUCUUCGUGAAGAUUGUGCUUUGUGUGGCAGCAUGCAAUAAUGCAGAAUAUGAAAUUGAUGGAGAGUGUUGCCCGAUGUGUGAUCCAGGAAAGCGAGUUCAUAAACAUUGUGAUGAGUACACAAGCACAACAUGUGAUUCAUGCCUUGUGAGGACUUACACUGAUGCUCCUAAUGGAUUUACAGAAUGUCUGCCCUGUUCUGUCUGUGAUCCAAGUAAUGGGCUGAGAGUAAAGCAGACCUGGAAAGGUCUGUUACA